rnacentral:rRNA from 1 species
GCGAGUGAAGAGGGAAGAGCUCAAAUUUGAAAUCUGGCGGUCUCAGGCCGUCCGAGUUGUAAUCUAGAGAGGUGUUUUCCGUGCUGGACCGUGUACAAGUCCCUUGGAACAGGGCGUCAUAGAGGGUGAGAAUCCCGUCCAUGACACGGACUCCCGGUGCUCUGUGAUACACCUUCGAAGAGUCGAGUUGUUUGGGAAUGCAGCUCAAAACGGGUGGUAAAUUCCAUCUAAAGCUAAAUACAGGCGAGAGACCGAUAGCGAACAAGUACCGUGAGGGAAAGAUGAAAAGAACUUUGGAAAGAGAGUUAAACAGUACGUGAAAUUGUUGAAAGGGAAACGCUUGAAGUCAGUCGCGUCUGCCAGGACUCAGCCUUGCUUCUGCUUGGUGCACUUCCUGGUGGAUGGGCCAGCAUCGAUUUUGGCCGCCGGAAAAGGGCGGGAGGAAUGUGGCAGCUUGCUGUGUUAUAGCCUCCCGUCGUACACGGUGGUUGGGAUCGAGGAAUGCAGCACGCCUUUUGGUCGGGGUUCGCCCACGCCACGUGCUUAGGAUGCUGGCGUAAUGGCUUUAAACGACCCGUCUUGAAACACGGACCAAGGAGUCUAACAUGCCUGCGAGUGUUUGGGUGUCAAACCCAGGCGCGUAAUGAAAGUGAAAAGUUGGGACUCUUUAGUGAGGCACCGACGCCCGAUCCUGACGUUUUCUGACGGAUUUGAGGCAGAGCAUGUAUGUUGGGACCCGAAAGAUGGUGAACUAUGCCUGAAUAGGGUGAAGCCAGAGGAAACUCUGG